AGAGUUGAUCUGGCUCAGAUUGAACGCUGGCGGCAGGCCUAACACAUGCAAGUCGGACGGUAGCACAGAGAGCUUGCUCUGGGUGACGAGUGGCGGACGGGUGAGUAAUGUCUGGGGAUCUGCCCGAGUAGAGGGGGAUAACCGACUGGAAACGGUGGCUAAUACCGCAUAACGUCGCAAGACCAAAGAGGGGGACCUUCGGGCCUCUCACUAUCGGAUGAACCCAGAUGGGAUUAGCUAGUAGGCGGGGUAAUGGCCCACCUAGGCGACGAUCCCUAGCUGGUCUGAGAGGAUGACCAGCCACACUGGAACUGAGACACGGUCCAGACUCCUACGGGAGGCAGCAGUGGGGAAUAUUGCACAAUGGGCGCAAGCCUGAUGCAGCCAUGCCGCGUGUAUGAAGAAGGCCUUCGGGUUGUAAAGUACUUCAGCGGGAGGAAGGCGGUGAGGUUAAUAACCUUACCGAUUGACGUUACCCGCAGAAGAAGCACCGGCUAACUCCGUGCCAGCCGCCGC
rnacentral:rRNA from 1 species